AAUUCUACUCAUAACCUACGUGGUUCUCCUCGGGAUAGUAGCCGGCCCAGAUAGGUGCAAACAUCUUCUGGCUUACCCAGCCGUGCAGCAUUGAUACACCGUUAACCUCCUGACAGGUGUUGCAGGCAAAUGUACUCAUGCAGAAACGCUCGCUGUGGUCGUUAGGAUUGAUACGACCCAUGCCGAUGAACUCGUCCCACGAGAUACCCAGCUUCUGUGGGUAACCGCCCAUGUACUUGCCAAACAGACCCUCGUCGAAGUAGUCGUGACCGGCAGGUACUGGUGUGUGAACGGUGUAAAGACCGCUGGCACGAACCAGCUCCAGAGCCUGGUUAAAUGUCAGACCCUCGUCGAUAUAGUCGCACAGGCGCUGCAGGUUACACAGGGCAGCGUGUCCCUCGUUACAGUGGUAGAUAUCCUUCUUAAUGCCCAGCUUCUUCAGCAGCAGCAUACCACCGAUACCCAGCAGAAUCUCCUGCUUCAAGCGGUUCUCCCAGUCGCCACCAUACAGGCUGUGGGUGAUAGGCUUGUCAAACUCCGAGUUCAUCUCGUUAUCAGUAUCCAGCAGGUACAGCUUUACACGACCCACGUUUACACGCCAAACAUAAGCAUGAACCUGGUAGUUGGUGUAGAGUAGAAUUCUACUCAAGGCCAAUCAAACCGGGAGAUAGCUGGUUCUCCCCGAAAGCUAUUUAGGUAGCGCCUCGUGAAUUCAUCUCCGGGGGUAGAGCACUGUUUCGGCAAGGGGGUCAUCCCGACUUACCAACCCGAUGCAAACUGCGAAUACCGGAGAAUGUUAUCACGGGAGACACACGGCGGGUGCUAACGUCCGUCGUGAAGAGGGAAACAACCCAGACCGCCAGCUAAGGUCCCAAAGUCAUGGUUAAGUGGGAAACGAUGUGGGAAGGCCCAGACAGCCAGGAUGUUGGCUUAGAAGCAGCCAUCAUUUAAAGAAAGCGUAAUAGCUCACUGGUCGAGUCGGCCUGCGCGGAAGAUGUAACGGGGCUAAACCAUGCACCGAAGCUGCGGCAGCGACACUAUGUGUUGUUGGGUAGGGGAGCGUUCUGUAAGCCUGUGAAGGUGGCCUGUGAGGGUUGCUGGAGGUAUCAGAAGUGCGAAUGCUGACAUAAGUAACGAUAAAGCGGGUGAAAAGCCCGCUCGCCGGAAGACCAAGGGUUCCUGUCCAACGUUAAUCGGGGCAGGGUGAGUCGACCCCUAAGGCGAGGCCGAAAGGCGUAGUCGAUGGGAAACAGGUUAAUAUUCCUGUACUUGGUGUUACUGCGAAGGGGGGACGGAGAAGGCUAUGUUGGCCGGGCGACGGUUGUCCCGGUUUAAGCGUGUAGGCUGGUUUUCCAGGCAAAUCCGGAAAACCAAGGCUGAGGCGUGAUGACGAGGCACUACGGUGCUGAAGCGACAAAUGCCCUGCUUCCAGGAAAAGCCUCUAAGCAUCAGGUAACAUCAAAUCGUACCCCAAACCGACACAGGUGGUCAGGUAGAGAAUACCAAGGCGCUUGAGAGAACUCGGGUGAAGGAACUAGGCAAAAUGGUGCCGUAACUUCGGGAGAAGGCACGCUGAUAUGUAGGUGAAGCGACUUGCUCGUGGAGCUGAAAUCAGUCGAAGAUACCAGCUGGCUGCAACUGUUUAUUAAAAACACAGCACUGUGCAAACACGAAAGUGGACGUAUACGGUGUGACGCCUGCCCGGUGCCGGAAGGUUAAUUGAUGGGGUUAGCGGUAACGCGAAGCUCUUGAUCGAAGCCCCGGUAAACGGCGGCCGUAACUAUAACGGUCCUAAGGUAGCGAAAUUCCUUGUCGGGUAAGUUCCGACCUGCACGAAUGGCGUAAUGAUGGCCAGGCUGUCUCCACCCGAGACUCAGUGAAAUUGAACUCGCUGUGAAGAUGCAGUGUACCCGCGGCAAGACGGAAAGACCCCGUGAACCUUUACUAUAGCUUGACACUGAACAUUGAGCCUUGAUGUGUAGGAUAGGUGGGAGGCUUUGAAGUGUGGACGCCAGUCUGCAUGGAGCCGGCCUUGAAAUACCACCCUUUAAUGUUUGAUGUUCUAACGUUGGCCCGUAAUCCGGGUUGCGGACAGUGUCUGGUGGGUAGUUUGACUGGGGCGGUCUCCUCCUAAAGAGUAACGGAGGAGCACGAAGGUUGGCUAAUCCUGGUCGGACAUCAGGAGGUUAGUGCAAUGGCAUAAGCCAGCUUGACUGCGAGCGUGACGGCGCGAGCAGGUGCGAAAGCAGGUCAUAGUGAUCCGGUGGUUCUGAAUGGAAGGGCCAUCGCUCAACGGAUAAAAGGUACUCCGGGGAUAACAGGCUGAUACCGCCCAAGAGUUCAUAUCGACGGCGGUGUUUGGCA
rnacentral:rRNA from 1 species